UACGUAGGGGGCAAGCGUUGUCCGGAAUCAUUGGGCGUAAAGCGCGUGUAGGCGGCCCGGUAAGUCCGCUGUGAAAGUCGGGGGCUCAACCCUCGAAUGCCGGUGGAUACUGUCGGGCUAGAGUGCGGAAGAGGCGAGUGGAAUUCCUGGUGUAGCGGUGAAAUGCGCAGAUAUCAGGAGGAACACCGGUGGCGAAGGCGGAUCUCUGGGCCAUUACUGACGCUGAGGAGCGAAAGCGUGGGGAGCGAACAGG
rnacentral:rRNA from 1 species